rnacentral:rRNA from 1 species
UACGGGGGGAGCAAGCGUUGUUCGGAUUUACUGGGCGUAAAGGGCGCGUAGGCGGCCACCGCAAGUCGACUGUGAAAUCUCCGGGCUUAACUCGGAAAGGUCAGCCGAUACUGCGGGGCUAGAGUGCAGAAGGGGCAACUGGAAUUCUCGGUGUAGCGGUGAAGUGCGUAGAUAUCGAGAGGAACACCUGCGGCGAAGGCGGGUUGCUGGGCUGACACUGACGCUGAGGCGCGAAAGCUAGGGGAGCGAACGGG